ACCCUAUGAUUUUAUUUUCCUCUUUUUGUCAUCUCCUCCGUUAAUAUUUUGUUAAAUUAUAUACAAAAAAUUUCAGAUACACCACCUAAGUUUAUUGAAUAUCUAUUUUAAUACAUUUUAGUUUUAACUUUAUCACUGAUUUAACAAAAAAAAAAUAGUGAAGGAAAUAAUAAAAAGAGAAAAAUAAAACCACAGAGUACUAAAUUAAUACACUUUAAACCACAAGGUAGUAAAAUAAAAAAGUGGGAAACCACAAGGAUGGUAUUUGAGGUUUUUUCUAAAAAUAUU
rnacentral:lncRNA from 1 species